CUUGGGCUCCACUCCAGAUCUGCUGAAUCAGGGACUCUGGGUGUGGGAACCAGCGAUCUGCAUUUUCACAAGCCUGACAAGUUUAAGAGCCUUCCCCAUCCCAGUCUGGGAGUUAGGGGAAACCCACUCUAGAGAAAGACUGUCAGAAGAGAAGCCUUUACACAUGGUCUGGAUGGAGGAGGGAGAGAACGGGAAGAGGCAACAUUUGACUAGAUCGUGGCCAAGAAUGUUCCCAAAGUGAUGAAAGGCAUCAAGAAAGAAUAGAAGUAAAUCCAGAAGGAAUCAAAGGAUUUAUUGGAUUGGAUAAAAGGUAUUUUUUAAAAAUCCAUGGAGAGGGGGAUUCCUACUAGCUUUUGGGGUCCCAAAUAGAACCCUGUUUGGUUAAUGAGUGAUCUGUACAUUAUUUGUAGGAGAAAUCUACUAAAGGAGCUAAAAACCCUCCUGGGGUGAUGGGUCACUUGGAACUCAGCUCCUCUUACUUCUACUCCUACAGGGGGAAAAUCCAGAAGUCUGCACAUGGAGAGAAACCUCUCAAAAACUGACUUGGGGGCCAGUGUGGUGGCAUACUGGUUAAAGUUGAGUGCAUUCUGCUUUGGCGGCCCAGGUUCUCGGGUUCAAAUCCUGGGGGCGGACCUAUACCACUCAUCAGCCAUGCUGUGGUGGUGACCCACAUACAAAAUAGAGGAAGACUGGCACAGAUACUAGCUCAGGUCUAAUCUUCUUCAAGCAAAAAGAGGAAUAUUGGCAACAGAUGUUAACUCAGUGUGAAUCUUCCUCAGCAAAAAAAAAACCCCAAAACUGGGACCGGCCCUGUGGCCAAGUGGUUAAGUUCCUGCACUCCACUUCGGUAGCACAGGGUUUCACAGGUUCACAUCCUAGGUACAGACCUAGCACCACUCAUCAAGCCAUGCGGAGGUGGUGUCCCACAUAGCACGACCCGAAGGACCUACAACUAGAAUACACAACUAUGUACUGAGGGGUUUUGGGGAGAAAAGGAAGUGAACAAAAGAGAGACAGAAGACUGGAAACAAAUGUUAGCUCAGGGCCAAUCUUAAAAAAAAAAUGUGACUUGAUAGGAGGUGA
rnacentral:lncRNA from 1 species